rnacentral:rRNA from 1 species
CCACCCUGUCCCCACUCACUCCCCACCACUCGCCUCUCUCUCUCGCGCGCGCGCCGCCACCCUCUCCCUGUCGAUGCUCCCUCUCGCCAGCAUCUUGCUCUACACCGCUGCUUAGCUCACCGCUCCCCACCACCGUGAUUCAUGUCGCAUCGCUAAUCCGCCUACCGCAGAGAAACAAAACUUCCAUUUUUAUGCGCCGCCGACAUGCUGCUGGGCAAGGAGGAGCUGGAUCCGCGUGCGUUGGCGCUAAAUCUGAGUGCGCUGGUGCUUGAUCUACUUUGUGGAUAGGAGUGAAGGAGGUGCUGAAGCGGAGCCCGAGAGGCACCGGUCGGCGUGAAGACGGCAACGUGAGGAGAUGGAGCCCGAGCGGGAGGAGUUGGAGCCGCAUCUGGACGUCGCCAUGAUGAGGAGAUGGAGCCGCAUAUGGACGCCCCCAUGAGUUGGACUUCCCCGACCACGAUGACGUUGAUGCCGUGGUUUUUUUUAUGCUUGAGCUUGCUGUAAUGAAUGGAUUCUUCGUGUACUCCAGCUUGACUGUACUCCAGAGGCUGGAUGGGUGGGUGGAGUAGGAUUAGUUAGUGCAUGCGUAGGCUGGAUGGAGUAGGAUUAGUUAGUGGAUCAGGCCCGAGCUUAGUUAGUGGAUGCAUUAGGAGUAAAAUUCAGUAAGAUGUGUACUGUCUCAAAAUUUAAGAAGUCCUGCUCUAAAAUUCAGUAAAAUUUGUAGUGUACUCUAAACUCUGAAGUUAAUGGAUGGAUUAUUUGAACUCUGAACUCUGAAAUUUGAACUCUAAAUUUUGUACUAUCUCAAAAUUCAGUAAGAUUUGUACUGUACUUGAACUCUGAAAUUUGGUUUUGACUGAAGAUCGGUAAGAUUCACAGUUUGUGUUGUUCUGAAUAAGAGUUUUGACUGAAGAUCAGUAAGAUUAGUUGAG